rnacentral:rRNA from 1 species
CAGUCGCCGCGGUAAUACGUAGGUGGCAAGCGUUGUCCGGAAUUAUUGGGCGUAAAGGGCUCGCAGGCGGUUUCUUAAGUCUGAUGUGAAAGCCCCCGGCUCAACCGGGGAGGGUCAUUGGAAACUGGGAAACUUGAGUGCAGAAGAGGAGAGUGGAAUUCCACGUGUAGCGGUGAAAUGCGUAGAGAUGUGGAGGAACACUAGUGGCGAAGGCGACUCUCUGGUCUGUAACUGACGCUGAGGAGCGAAAGCGUGGGGAGCGAGCAGGAUUAGAUACCCCCGUAGUCCCUGUCUCUUAUAC